rnacentral:miRNA from 1 species
UGGCUGUUGUGGUGUGCAAA